AGCAGCAUGGCGCAGUGGUAGCGCGCGGGGCCCAUAUUCCCAUCUUCUAGGCUGUACCCCGAGGUCACUUGAUCGAAACAAGUUGCUGCUA